AUUACGAUUAAGUCCGAGGACCUAAUUGAGUAACUAAAAAUAAUAUAACAUCUUAAUAAUUAUUGCAUUAUCUAUUCUAUUUACUAUAUACUAAAGUAGAAUCCUUGGUAUAAAACUGACACGUGUCUUUUUAUAUGCUUGCUACGUGUCAAACUCAAAUAUAGAAUAAUAAUUAUAUAUUAGGAAACAUUAUUAAAUCAAAUUAAAUCAAAUUAUACCAAUUAAAUAUAAUUAUAUAUAAAAUUAACUAGAAUUUUAUUAGAAAAUACUAUUAAACACUAUUAUUAUAAUUAUACUCAAAUAUAGAAUAACAAUUUUAUUAGGAAACACUAUUAAAUCAAAUUAAAUUAAAUUAUACCAAUUAACAAAUAAUACCAAUUAAAUAUAAUUAUAUAUACAAUUAAUAAGAAUUAUAUUAGGAAACAUUAUUAUAUCAAAUUAAAUCAAAUUACGAUUUUAUUAAAAAACACUAUUAAAUAUAAUUAAAUCAAAUUAAUUUGAUAUGUCAUUAUUUUACAUGUC
rnacentral:lncRNA from 1 species